CUACUAGCUGCAGGCCUGGUUUCUCUCAAACUUCCUGAAGGUUCCAGGGUCGCCAUACUCGCUCCAAGGCUCUACGAAGGGGCACAGCUACUUUAUGCGGCGUCCAAGGCGGGACUUGUUAUGGUUGGCAUCAACACAUUCUGCACGGUUACUGAACUACAGUUUUGUUUGAAUAAGCGGCAGUAUCACUUUCGAUGACCUGAUAAAUUCAGGGACGCCUGAAGACCACGCCACCAUGAACUCCGUGUCUGCCAAAGUGCAGUUCGACCGGGACGCCUUUAUUCAAUUUUCAUCGGGUACGACGGGGCAGCCUAAGCCAGCGCGGCUCUCUCACUUUAAUGUUGUCAACAACGCCAACAUCGUGGGCCGCUUCAUUGGAUACCA